ACAUAUAUAUAAAAAAUCAUAAUAAAGUGAAGAAAAUUAUGUCCCGCAUUGAAUCUCAGCUCUUUCUAGAUUUCUUAGUUAAUUUCUGACUGAAAUGUUCCAGUUUCAUUUAAUCUAUUUAGGGUUUAGAAUCUUUGAAAGCAUUCAACUUGAACUCCUAAAUCAAUCAAACAAAAAAAACCCAGGUAUAAAAAGGCUUCUUUCUUCCCUGAUCCCUAACUUCUCAACCCCACGUACAAUCACCCUUUUCCUGACUAAUUAAUUCCACAACAAACAGCCAAAGUGGAACAUAUCGCUAAACUUGAUGCUCACAUGGCUGGCAAGAUAUCUCUCGCCUCUCCUGCCCACUUGUUCAGCUACAGCAGCAGCCCAUUUGGUCUUCUGUUUCUCCGGGUCUGAAAUCUAGGCCACCUAGGAAUCGACAGAGUCUAGUGAUUCCAACGAUGAUGGACAGUGGGAAUGGAGAUGGAGGAGGGUAGGGGGACCACCAUCAACAAGCAAGGUUCAUGAAUAUUUCCAGAGACAGUGCUGACACUGUGUAGCAGCUGUCGCUCUUUAUUUAAUGUUCCUUUGUGUUUGUUUUCAUGUAUAUCAUAUCACCUCAGGAAACGCAUCCAUGGAACUCUCUUUGAAUUCUUUUACAGAGGAUAGUACUGUGUAAUUCACCUGUGAUACGCCAUGGGUGGAAUCAAAUUCCUUGUUUUACAACACAAAUAUAGAAUAUGAAAGCAUCGUUAACAUGUUCCGUGAAUUGAGAA